GCCAGCAUGACAUAGUGGUUUGAGUAUUGGACUGUGACUCUGGAGACCAGGGUUCAAAUCCCCGCCUAGCCA
rnacentral:tRNA from 1 species